AUCGAGUACAUCCAUAAUAACUAUACAUGCUAUUUUUUUUCUCGAAAAAAUAAAUAUUCACUUCAGAGAGAGAGAGAGAGAGAGUUUUCUUUACAGGAAAUUUAUUUGGGAAUUUCAUCAUAAGUCAUAGAUUAAAAAAAUACUCCUUCGGGUACUGGUACCGGUACCGGUACUAACGGUACCUGAGUUUUCGGUACCGGUACUACCGGUACUCAAAUUAACGGUACCAAUACCACAUGGGAAACACUCCACUAUCCACCACAGAGGCAGAGAAAGACAUGGAGUAUAGUUACCAGGCUUCAUGCAGUGAAAGCCAAAUCCGUGCCAAUCGCAGCAAAUGGGUUAAGAAACAUGAUCCCCGCUGCUACCACCGGGUUAAACCAAUACACAGGUGCAGGAGAGUGACAGGUGUAAAUGGGAAGAUGACUUGGCAAAUGAUACCACAGUGUACUGAAGCAUAACUACUUUUAUUUCCUAAAUCAGCUAUGUAUGAAUUUAGCUUGUUUAUAGUGUACAGUUUCAUAUUCAUAAACCUUGUAUUAUAAAAGGUUUGGUUAGAUUAUGAGGUAAGUGAGGUUAGGCAAAUUGAGUUAAUAUCUGUUGAACUCUUACUUACCUAACCUAAUCUUACCUUAUCUAGCCUAAUCUAGCCUAGUCUUACCUAACCUAAUUUAACCAUUGUUGCCUAGAAUAAUCCCUUACAGGUAAACAGCUUUUCAAGGGAGUUGGGUAUUUAUCUGUGGAAAUACUAAUAUUUUUUGUACAUGAAGCUGUGACUGUAACAAUGCAAUGCUUCCCAGCAGCUGUGUAUUUCUGCCACUUCAUCGAGAAAUAACUAGAACUUUGUUAACAUAAUAAAAUUCCGUACAGGUAAAAAAUGUUAGCAUCCAGAAGAAAUGAUGCAAACCUCUACUAAAUAUUUACUGAAGGCUUAACUUAGGGAAAUAAACCCUGGAACUAAGGGGCAGAAACCUUAAAACUCUCUGAUCUUCUUAACCCCUUGAUUGCAGAUUUCCUAGUCAGACCUCACCAAGCUACAGGAAUGGAACAAAAAGUGGCUGCUACAAUUCAAUGAAGAAAAAUGUAAAGUCCUGCACCUUGGGAGGGGAUAUCCAGCACACCAAUACCACAUGGGAAACAAUCCACUAUCCACCACAGAGGCAGAGAAGGACCUGGGAGUAUAUGUUACCGGGCUACCAGUAAAAGCCAAAUUCGUGCCAAUCGCAGUGGACGGGUUAUGAGGGAGAGAAAGUGAAGGAGUUACAAAUGCAUAGUUCCUUGAUACAUGAAACUCAUACACUAGGAGGCAAAAAAAAGGAUCCAUCCAUCUCAUCUCAUUAACAUAACUAUAGUCCUGAUAUUUCAACAGAUAUUUGUCAUUUGUCACAGACCACUUUGCCUACAGGCACUACAUAGACAGGUAUAUUUACCGACAUACAAGGGGUGUAGGUUAUCUCAUUUAUCACAUUUACUGACAUACAAGGGGUGUAGGUUAUCUCAUUUAUCACAUUUACUGACAUACAAGGGGUGUAGGUUAUCUCAUUUAUCACAUUUACUGACAUACAAGGGGUGUAGGUUAUCUCAUUUAUCACAUUUACUGACAUACAAGGGGUGUAGGUUACCUCAUUUAUCACAUUUACUGAUACAAGGGGGGCAGGCUAUCUCAUUUAUCACAUUUACUGACAUACAAGGAGGGCAGGCUAUCUCAUUAACAC